rnacentral:rRNA from 1 species
UGCCAGCCGCCGCGGUAAUACGGAGGGUGCAAGCGUUGUUCGGAAUUAUUGGGCGUAAAGCGCGUGUAGGCGGUUCGUUAAGUCUGAUGUGAAAGCCCGGGGCUCAACCCCGGAAGUGCAUUGGAAACUGGCGAACUUGAGUACGGGAGAGGAAAGUGGAAUUCCGAGUGUAGAGGUGAAAUUCGUAGAUAUCAGGAGGAACACCGAUGGCGAAGGCAGCUUUCUGGACCGAUAUUGACGCUGAGGCGCGAAGGCGUGGGUAGCGAACGGGAUUAGAUA